GGUCAUUAUUGUUCAUUGAAAAGCACAUUUAGGUCGGGUGGGCCACCGCACCCGGCCUGCUUACUGUCUUUGGGAUGUUACUUAGCACACUACUUCACUUCUCUUGCCUUAGAUUUCUCAUUUGUAAAAUGGAGGGAUAGUAGUAUCUAAAUGCUAAAAUUAAUAUAAAGUAUUUGGGCCGGGCGUGGUGCCUCAUGCCUAUAAUCCCCAGCACUUUGAGAGACCAAGGUGGGCAGAUCACUUGAGGCCAGGAGUUCGAGACCAACCUGGCAAACGAGGUGAAAUUCCUGUCUCUACCAAAAAAAAAAAAAAAUUAGCCGGGUGUGGUGGCCCAUGCCUAUAGUCCCAGCUACACCUUUGGAGACUGAGAUGGGAGAAUUGCUUUAACGCUGGAGAUGGAGGUUGUAUUGAGCCAAGAUCGCACCACUGCACUCCAGCCUGGGUGUCAGUGAGACCCUGUCUCAAAAAAAAAUUAUAUUUAUACACACACACACACACACAC
rnacentral:lncRNA from 1 species